ACCUUAGGUUAACUCUUUUAUGCGAUGCGAGCAUGGAAGCGUAAGCAGGUUGUAGUGUAGUGGUCCACUCAACAUGCAAAGUGGGGCAUGAGCCAAUUUCAUAGACUGCCUGCGUCAUUACAAAGAUAUAAUAUAACAUGGGGAUUGGUUGUCCAUGACUUGCCUACCAAUUUUACUUGAUCCAGCGCAGCACAAAAACAAAAAAAAAUGGAGUGUACUAACUUAGCAGAAAAAAUAUACCUUAUAUUAAUUGAAUGUGCAAGACGAUGGAGCG
rnacentral:lncRNA from 1 species